rnacentral:rRNA from 1 species
UACGUAGGGUGCGAGCGUUAAUCGGAAUUACUGGGCGUAAAGCGUGCGCAGGCGGUUGGCAAAGUCAGCUGUGAAAGCCCCGGGCUUAACCUGGGAACUGCGUUUGAAACUGGGAGACUUGAGUGUGGCAGAGGGGGGUGGAAUUCCACGUGUAGCAGUGAAAUGCGUAGAUAUGUGGAGGAACACCGAUGGCGAAGGCAGCCCCCUGGGUUAACACUGACGCUCAUGCACGAAAGCGUGGGGGAGCAAACAGG